UACAGAGGGUGCGAGCGUUACUCGGAAUUACUGGGCGUAAAGCGCGCGUAGGCGGCUUUGCAAGUCGGGUGUGAAAUCCCCAGGCUUAACCUGGGAACUGCAUUCGAGACUGCAUUGCUAGAGUAUGGGAGAGGGAAGUGGAAUUUCCGGUGUAGCGGUGAAAUGCGUAGAUAUCGGAAGGAACAUCAGUGGCGAAAGCGGCUUCCUGGCCUGUUCUUGACGCUGAGGCGCGAAAGCUAGGGGAGCAAACGGG
rnacentral:rRNA from 1 species